rnacentral:rRNA from 1 species
UACAGAGGGUGCGAGCGUUGUUCGGAAUUACUGGGCGUAAAGGGUGCGUAGGCGGCUUUCUAAGUUGGAUGUGAAAACUAUGGGCUCAACCCAUAGCCUGCAUCCAAAACUGGAGAGCUUGGGUUCUGGAGGGGAAAGCGGAAUUCCUGGUGUAGCGGUGAAAUGCGUAGAUAUCAGGAGGAACACCGGUGGCGAAGGCGGCUUUCUGGACAGAUACCGACGCUGAGGCACGAAAGCUAGGGGAGCAAACAGG